UGGAAGGAGUUCUGUCUGGUCUGGAAGGAGUUCUGUCUGGUCUGGAAGGAGUUCUGUCUGGUCUGGAAGGAGUUCUGUCUGGUCUGGAAGGAGUUCUGUCUGGUCUGGAAGGAGUUCUGUCUGGUCUGGAAGGAGUUCUGUCUGGUCUGGAAGGAGUUCUGUCUGGUCUGGAAGGAGUUCUGUCUGGUCUGGAAGGAGUUCUGUCUGGUCUGGAAGGAGUUCUGUCUGGUCUGGAAGGAGUUCUGUCUGGUCUGGAAGGAGUUCUGUCUGGUCUGGAAGGAGUUCUGUCUGGUCUGGAAGGAGUUCUGUCUGGUCUGGAAGGAGUUCUGUCUGGUCUGGAAGGAGUUCUUUUUGUCUGUCUGUCUGGUCUGGAAGGAGUUUUGUCUGUCUGUCUGUCUGGUCUGGAAGGAGUUUUGUCUGUCUGUCUGUCUGGUCUGGAAGGAGUUUUGUCUGUCUGUCUGGUCUGGAAGGAGUUUUGUCUGUCUGUCUGGUCUGGAAGGAGUUUUGUCUGUCUGUCUGGUCUGGAAGGAGUUUUGUCUGUCUGUCUGGUCUGGAAGGAGUUUUGUCUUUCUGUCUGGUCUGGAAGGAGUUCUGUCUGGUCUGGAAGGAGUUCUGUCUGGUCUGGAAGGAGUUUUGUCUGUCUGUCUGUCUGUCUGUCUGGAAGGAGUUUUGUCUGU